CACGUAGGGGGCAAGCGUUGUCCGGAUUUAUUGGGCGUAAAGAGCUCGUAGGCGGUUCGGUAAGUCGGGUGUGAAACCUCCAGGCUCAACCUGGAGACGCCACCCGAUACUGCUGUGACUAGAGUCCGGUAGGGGAGCGUGGAAUUCCUGGUGUAGCGGUGAAAUGCGCAGAUAUCAGGAGGAACACCAGCGGCGAAGGCGGCGCUCUGGGCUGGAACUGACGCUGAGGAGCGAAAGCGUGGGUAGCAAACAGG
rnacentral:rRNA from 1 species